UGAUUAAAAAGAUGACUUCAAGUUCAUAUUUGGUCUUAGUUUAUCUCAUAUUUAACUUUGUUUUUAUGCUUAAAAUGUAGUGACUGUGUUCAAAUUCUGCAUUUGGAUUUAUUGUUGACGAUGUUAAAGGAGUUGCUUCCACUAUUGAUGGUGUGCGCUUCUAUUUUGUUAAGCGAUUUGCAAAUCGUGUUGCCCAUACUGUUGCUAGGGAAGCCGUUUCUGCGUCAGAUGGGUACAAUUUAACUUGAUCAGAGCAAUUAUACAUGAGUGGUUUUUAUACCAUUUGGAUAUGGAUGGAAUCAAUUGGAUGAUGGAAAUAAAAGGGAUUGGAGAUAAAAAAAAAUUGGACCACAAA